AUUUCACUGAGAAUUUAAAUUGUGCCCAUGGGGCAGCAGGUGACAGUACAAACCGUGCUGAGCAAGAGGGGAUGCCCCCCAAUGUUGGCCAGAAUGGAUGUUGGGACAAAAACAGAGAACAUCGAAAUGGAAAGAGCAACUAAACCAUUGUCGCAGGCAUUGGAGGUGACCCCACUGCUCUGUAGACCUAUUGUGAGUGCUGGCAAAAUAUCUCCCCAGCUUCAGCAAGUGACUUUUAGCAUGCCACCAUAGCCAGGGGUCAGAACAAGGGCAGAAUAAAGUGGCACAUAAUUAGCCGCUAUCUGCAGAUGCUGAAGGCAGCAAUAAUUGCUGCAGGUCAAUUUGCCAUUUUCUUCAUCUUUUUCUGUCAGCUACCAAAACAGAGGCUGCACCUGAACAUUCUGUUCUCUUCUAAGCAGCACGCCCCUUCUUGUCAAUCACAGACUCUGGCAGGCUCUCAAAUGCUUUUGUUUCUGACAGCCAAGCAAGCUUUAGCAAGAGGAAGAGACACUUUUUGCAUUCUAGCAGCCACUUUAGUGGGACAUUAGAAAGGGAGAGAGAAGGCCGUCCAGUCCCAAGAAAUGUGAAAAGCACAUGCUCAGCACUUGAUACUAUGCUUCACCCAGCAGAAUGAGGCUAUACAAUGUGUGUAAGUGAUGCUUCUGGGUAACAGUUUGUGCUAGAACAGAAGACGUGAGCCGACUGGAGCUGUGGGUCAGACUAGAUGGCCCAGGAGAUCCCUUCUGUCUUACUCAGUUUCUAUGUUAAAACCUAAACUUGAAAGUAGAAAGGCAAAAUGUCUUAGGGCAAAAUUGCUGCAGUUUUUAUAGAAAGCAAAUAUUGAAUUUCAGAUUUAGCCUUUUAAGGUUCAUUAUCUGGGCUUCCUGGUUUCAGGAAUCCAGUUCCAAUCCAGAGAAUCACGUUUCAUACCAUCCAAAUAUAGACCACUUCAUUAAUAUUUCCACACCAUUCUCUAGCCAUUGAUGUCUGUAACAUUAGCUCUAAUUCAAUGCUAACGAUGAAUGAAGAAUCAGGUGUGCCUUGCUAGGUAUUGAGCUUCUGAAGCUUCCUGGAACUGUUGCUCGCGCUCGCUCGCGCUCUCUCUCUCUCUCUCUCUCUCUCUCUCUCUCUCUCUCUCUCUCUCUCUUUCAAUCUCUCAUCUGCAAAACAUUGUGUUUUACCUGUUUCAUGAUUGGUACUGUUGCAUAAGCUGUAACACUUUCACGAAAUGGAAGUGACUGGCAUUUUCUUUCCUAAUAGAAGAUUUAGCUGCCCUCUAUAUUCACUGUCCCAAACAUGAUCUUCAGUAAAAUGCAGUUAAACUUCUAUUUGAAACUAGUAACCCAGGAAUCAGAAUAGUAGCAUUAAUAACACCACAUUUGACUCACCAUGUAAAGAUAAGACACAGCAACGUGGAUAUUAGAAUCAGAACUUGGUUAAACAUCGCAGAUUGUGUACGUUGGAUGGCUCUAUGAAGAUCAUUCUAGAGAAAUAUACAGCAUUUAGAUACGAUAUGAAUAUUAGAUAGCUCAAUAAAAGUGCUGCAUAGAGCCCUUAAAAUGAACGUUUGCAAACUAUAUGACAAGCUUACAACACUGUAGCAUUUGCACACAUUGAUUUUAUGUGUAGAUUAAUUUGUUAAAUGUAUAAAUAAAGUUACAUGUGUUAAUAAAGUUCCCUUUCAGUGAGGCACUCAAACCAAAUUACAAAGAAGAAAAAGAUGAAAGAGGGGCAUCAAUAAACACUAGUAACCACCAGAAUAACCAGGAAAAACAAAUGGUAAAAUGCUUGACUGCUACAAUAAAUUACACAUCAGAAUUUCCUUCC